GGCGAACGCUGGCGGCGUGCUUAACACAUGCAAGUCGAACGAAGAGCGAUGGAAGCUUGCUUCUAUCAAUCUUAGUGGCGAACGGGUGAGUAACGCGUAAUCAACCUGCCCUUCAGAGGGGGACAACAGUUGGAAACGACUGCUAAUACCGCAUACGAUCUAAUCUCGGCAUCGAGGAUAGAUGAAAGGUGGCCUCUACAUGUAAGCUAUCACUGAAGGAGGGGAUUGCGUCUGAUUAGCUAGUUGGAGGGGUAACGGCCCACCAAGGCGAUGAUCAGUAGCCGGUCUGAGAGGAUGAACGGCCACAUUGGGACUGAGACACGGCCCAGACUCCUACGGGAGGCAGCAGUGGGGAAUCUUCCGCAAUGGACGAAAGUCUGACGGAGCAACGCCGCGUGAGUGAUGACGGCCUUCGGGUUGUAAAGCUCUGUUAAUCGGGACGAAAGGCCUUCUUGCGAAUAGUGAGAAGGAUUGACGGUACCGGAAUAGAAAGCCACGGCUAACUACGUG
rnacentral:rRNA from 1 species